GUCCUAAAUAUUGAAGGACCAAGUUUUGCACUCCGUUGGGUGGUGGGCGGAAGACCACGAAAGGGGGACAGAGGAUCUGACCCACGAACCUAAGAGAUAGGCGAGCCGUUCUGAUGAAUAAAACUCAAGUCUUUACCUAAAUACCCUAAACUUCAAAUAGCAACAGGCUGAGGAGUCGCCAAAUGUGCAUAUACCUCUUGACUACUUCCUUCAACAACACCCCUUAUUUCCUACCAAAGGCAGUAAAUAUUCCACCCCCAAAUAAGAUUCCAACUGAUCUUCUUCCUAAGAAUGAAGAAGCGACCGGCCCAGCUACACGUGAAGCAGAGUCAACGAGGAGAUUCGCUAGCGAGUAGGAAAAGAAAUGAAACUCGACACCGGAUGAAUAGCGAGCUUCAGGAGAGGAAGCAGCCCGGUGACCGACUGCCGCAGAGAUCAAAGUUCGGAGAAAGCGCCGCAGCCUCACGGGCCUUGGAGAUUUCCAUCUCGGACCAGCAAACUUCGGAAACCAUCCUUGCUAUCCACGACUUCCUCAAUUCCAGAGUUCUCUCACAUUGCCUCUUGAUCCUAUUCACAUAGACAAGUCAGCUAAAGACCCAGAGAUGAUGGGAGGGCAAAGCCAGGGUGACAAAUACAGAAAUGCAGCUCUAAACAGCAAGCAAAAUUACCACCUCCCUCUGCCUGAGGGACAUUUCCUGAAAGAGGUGGAGUUGGAGAGACUUGGUGCUAAUUCAAAAAUGUGUAAUGCCAG